rnacentral:ncRNA from 1 species
CUCGAAGGCUGAAGGAGUUUGCUGAGGAGGUUUUCACCAGGAGAGGGAGGAACUCCUAGUUCCUUUUGUUUACGCCGUGUGGUGAGCGGAGAAGAAUACUGCCACAGCCCACCAUUGCUUGUCGUAGGAGGCGACUAAUAUGGCAUGGGCACUCUAUCCGGGCUUGUCGGAGCCAAAAGGGAGGGUCCACCGAACCCUGCAUUUCGGUACCACGGGUUGAGCAGUGCCUUCCAAGGCUGCUCAUUGAGGUCGGCCCCCUUGUGGGAGUAUCGUGGUGGCUGUGGUUGAUACCUAUAUCGCGGGUAACUUUCAAGUUCGACGAAGAGUUGCGUAUAUACGACUCGGGUGCUGUGACCCUAAGAUCAGAAGAGAUUUUAGAUAGAUCUCGCUCCUCAGCAAGGGGGAGUGUUUGCCCGACAAGCACACACUCGAAUUGCUACCGGGAUAGUUGCUACGUACAUAGCUGUAGCUUCUAUUUUGGGGCGUUGGUCUGGCACUAUAUACAUGGGUAUAUAAGAGUGUCGUGGCUGUACUCCCUUCAAUGUGGAACACGCCACGUUAAAUAAAACUCGGAGGGAUCCGAUCCACACCACCUGUCCCUAUCUACUAUCUAGCGAAACCACAGCCAAGGGAACGGGCUUGGAAUAAUUAGCCGGAAAAGAAGACCCUUUUGAGCUUGACUCUAAUCUGGCAGUGUAAGGAGACAUAAGAGGUGUAGAAUAAGUGGGAAGUAGGUAGUUUAUGGGCAUUCUGCGUCAAAUUUUUUGUGUAACAGCGGGGUUUCGAACCCGAAAGCUCUCAGAAAGCUCAAAAGCUCAAAAGAGCUUUUAGCGAAGUUUCGAACCAAAAAGCUCAAAAAGCUUUUUGUGUGUGUGUGUGUGUGAAAAAGCUUUUGAGUGUUUUGAAAUGUGACGGUUAAUUGAUGGCGGGAAUAUUAAAAAUUGUUGUUGGCGCGCAUAUUUAAAUUUCGGAAUGUCCAUAAACUACCUACUGCUAUUGCUACUGCUAUUGCUACUACUACUACUACUACUGCUACUACUACUACUACUGCUACUACUCCUACUACUACUACUAUGAGUCAAAUCCAUUGUUGCAGUGA